UGUGUCUAGUCCCUACAGUGGAGGGAGGAUGGAGGGCAGAGGGAACAGAGGUGUCUAGUCCCUACAGUGGAGGGAGGAUGGAGGGCAGAGGGGACAGAGGUGUGUCUAGUCCCUACAGUGGAGGGAGGAUGGAGGGCAGAGGGAACAGAGGUGUGUCUAGUCCCUACAGUGGAGGGAGGAUGGAGGGCAGAGGGGACAGAGGUGUGUCUAGUCCCUACAGUGGAGGGAGGAUGGAGGGCAGAGGGGACAGAGGUGUGUCUAGUCCCUACAGUGGAGGGAGGAUGGAGGGCAGAGGGGACAGAGGUGUGUCUAGUCCCUACAGUGGAGGGAGGAUGGGAUGGAGGGCAGAGGGGACAGAGGUGUGUCUAGUCCCUACAGUGGAGGGAGGAUGGGAUGGAGGGCAGAGGGGACAGAGGUGUGUCUAGUCCCUACAGUGGAGGGAGGAUGGAGGGCAGAGGGGACAGAGGUGUGUCUAGUCCCUACAGUGGAGGGAGGAUGGAGGGCAGAGGGGACAGAGGUGUGUCUAGUCCCUACAGUGGAGGGAGGAUGGAGGGCAGAGGGGACAGAGGUGUGUCUAGUCCCUACAGUGGAGGGAGGAUGGAGGGCAGAGGGGACAGAGGUGUGUCUAGUCCCUACAGUGGAGGGAGGAUGGGAUGGAGGGCAGAGGGGACAGAGGUGUGUCUAGUCCCUACAGUGGAGGGAGGAUGGAGGGCAGAGGGGACAGAGGUGUGUCUAGUCCCUACAGUGGAGGGAGGAUGGAGGGCAGAGGGGACAGAGGUGUGUCUAGUCCCUACAGUGGAGGGAGGAUGGAGGGCAGAGGGGACAGAGGUGUGUCUAGUCCCUACAGUGGAGGGAGGAUGGAGGGCAGAGGGGACAGAGGUGUGUCUAGUCCCUACAGUGGAGGGAGGAUGGGAUGGAGGGCAGAGGGGACAGAGGUGUGUCUAGUCCCUACGGUGGAGGGAGGAUGGAGGAAGUGGUUCCUCUCUGUCAGGCUUUCCUUCCCAGGCGUCGUCUCUCUGUUUAGCUGCCAGACGCUUCUGCUCU